CCUACGGGGGGCAGCAGUCGAGAAUCAUUCACAAUGGGGGAAACCCUGAUGGUGCGACGCCGCGUGGGGGAAUGAAGGUCUUCGGAUUGUAAACACCUGUCAUGUGGGAGCAAAUUAAAAAGAUAGUACCACAAGAGGAAGAGACGGCUAACUCUGUGACAGCAGCCGCGGUAAUACAGAGGUCUCAAGCGUUGUUCGGAAUCACUGGGCGUAAAGGGGGCGUAGGCUGUUUGGUAAGUCGUGUGUGAAAGGCGCGGGCUCAACCCGCGGACGGCACAUGAUACUGCGAGACUAGAGUAAUGGAGGGGGAACCGGAAUUCUCGGUGUAGCAGUGAAAUGCGUAGAUAUCGAGAGGAACACUCGUGGCGAAGGCGGGUUCCUGGACAUUAACUGACGCUGAGGCACGAAGGCCAGGGGAGCGAAAGGGAUUAGAUACCCUAGUAGUC
rnacentral:rRNA from 1 species